rnacentral:rRNA from 1 species
GACGAACGCUGGCGGCGUGCUUAACACAUGCAAGUCGAACGGAAAGGCCCUGCUUUUGUGGGGUGCUCGAGUGGCGAACGGGUGAGUAACACGUGAGUAACCUGCCCUUGACUUUGGGAUAACUUCAGGAAACUGGGGCUAAUACCGGAUAGGAGCUCCUGCUGCAUGGUGGGGGUUGGAAAGUUUCGGCGGUUGGGGAUGGACUCGCGGCUUAUCAGCUUGUUGGUGGGGUAGUGGCUUACCAAGGCUUUGACGGGUAGCCGGCCUGAGAGGGUGACCGGCCACAUGGGGACUGAGAUACGGCCCAGACUCCUACGGGAGGCAGCAGUGGGGAGUAUUGCACAAUGGGCGGAAGCCUGAUGCAGCAGCGCCGCGUGCGGGAUGACGGCCUUCGGGUUGUAAACCGCUUUGGCCUGUGACGAGGCGUGAGUGACGGUAAUGGGUAAAGAAGCACCGGCUAACUACGUG